GAGCCUGUAGCUCAGUCGGUAGAGCAACUGACUUUUAAUCAGCAGGUCGCAGGUUCGAAUCCUGCCAGGCUCACCA
rnacentral:tRNA from 1 species